rnacentral:rRNA from 1 species
AUUGAACGCUGGCGGCAGGCCUAACACAUGCAAGUCGAACGAGUGGCGGACGGGUGAGUAAUGUCUGGGAAACUGCCUGAUGGAGGGGGUAACCACCGGAAACGGUCGGUAAUACCGGAUACCAUCGGGUGUGCCCAAAUGGGAUUAGCUAGUAGGUGGGGUAAAGGCUCACCUAGGCGACGAUCCCUAGCUGGUCUUGGAGGAUGAACAGCCACACUGGAACGGAGACACGGUCCAGACUCCUACGGGAGGCAGCAGUGGGGAAUAUUGCACAAUGGGCGCAAGCCUGAUGCAGCCAUGCCGCGUGUAUGAAGAAGGCCUUCGGGUUGUAAAGUACUUUCAGCGGGGAGGCGUUACCCGCAGAAGAGGCACCGGCUAACUCCGUGCCAGCAGCCGCGGUAAUAC